ensembl:lncRNA
CAGAAGCCCCCCACCCAGGAGCCCCCGGCCCAGGAGCCCCCCAGUCUCCAUCUGCUUGUUCAGACGAAUGUCCUUAGUACGGGGAUGUGGCCGCUACUGAAGAGGGCCACCGACAUGGAUAUGAACAAUCACAAGGACACGCACAUGGACACGGAUGCGGACAUGAAUCUGGACACAGAUGAGCACCCAGAAGUGGGAGCAGACGGGAGCGCCCCACAGGAUCUGGACCAGAGCGUGCUGAUGGACCCAGGCAGGAUCAGCCCGAUGGAUCCACGCCGAAACAUCCCCAUGGAUCCAUGCAGGGCCAUCCCGGCAGAUGCAGGCAGGACCAACCCAACGGGGUGCCUCUGGGGUCCCAAGGGCACGGCCCAUCUGCGGGUGACCCCGGGGCUGUGCCGGGCCAGGCAGCGCCUGCAGCACAGCUUCUCCAGGCUGUGGCGGUGGGUGCAGGAGCGCUGGAGGCACUGCCGUGCACAGCCCUUUUGGCAGCGCUGGUCCUCCGUGGGGAGGAAGACUCCCUGAGCCCGAGUGUGGAGCCCGGCAAUACCACAGCCCCACCGCGCUCCCUCCGGCUCAGACCGCUGAAGGGUUUCCCUUCCCGGCUGCUGCUGAUCCCUUCCUAUUCCGGAGUCACACAGCCCAGCAGUGCCCCCGAGCAGCGAUGGGUCCCAAGGACCACUUGGGAUGGUCAUGCAGAUGCUGGUGCUGCUGCAGCACAGCCUGUUUGCAGUCGUGCUGCGGUCCCGGCGGCUGCAGGUAGGUGAUGGAUGAGGGGCCCGGGGGUGCGGGGGCACAGGGGCUGCCCCUCACCCACCCACUCACUGCUCCCACAGAAGAUCUGCCGGAGGUUGGGGAAGAAGAGGAGAGUGCCGAGCGCCAGGAGGAAGAAGGGGAGAGGUGAGCAGCCCCAGUGCCAGCGCUGAGCAGCCUGCAAGGGGUCGGCCCCCCAGUGUGGGGCUGGGCAGGGGUCCCGGCCGUUCACAC